ACCUAGGACCAUCUGAUUCUAAGUUUUGUGCUUGAAUGAGUUACCCACUACAAUCUACAAUUUUCUUUCCUGUACUAGUAUGAUGCUGUUAUGUGGGCACCAUUAAUUAAUAUUUAGUUAGCUUGGUUUAUUUCAGUGGGUCAUUCUCCCAUGCCUUGGAGUCUUAUUCUACACAGGCAGAAGCCCUGAGCAGAUGGCUUAUUUAGUCAGCUAAUACGUUAGUUGUACACUCUGAUAUUGUAAGUAGUCGUUUUAUUGCCAUGACUGAACAUGUAUUGCACCAGGUGUGGUGGCUCAUGCCUGCAAUGCCAGAACUUUGCAAGGCCAAAGCAGGAGGAUCACUUGAGCCAGGAGUUCAAGACCAUCCUGAGCAAUAUGGUGCCUCUGAAGUUGGACUCACAUAAUAAACAAGUAUGUCUCAGCUAUAACUUGACUACAUAAUGGCUGGAAGAGGACCGCAUUGGAGCUGACCCCACUCUGUAGAGGAGAAACAGGAACACUUAAUAUUUCUUCUGCAGUCAACCAGGCAUAUCGUUGAGCUUAGUUCUUCACACUGUAGUUAUACUCUCUAAAGGUAAAUAUGAUGCUUAUGUUAGUUGCUCUUGAAUCCUUAGGCUAGCCCAGCACCUAGCACAUAGUAAGUGCUCCAUAAAUAUGUGUUAAAUAAAUGAACAGGACAACGCAAACCGACAGGGAAGAUAAUCAGGAGCACCCAGAGCUGGAUGAAAUGUCGGUUAGCAAUGUAAACCUGCCUGACUCUUGUGAGAUGAGCUCCCUAAGAGCAAUGACUCUUUUACUCAUCUUUGUAUUCCCUGGGAUUUAGCCUUCAUAAUACGGACUCAAAAAUUUCCGCGGAUUAAGUCAUCUUAGAGUAAAAUCAUUUUAGAAGCUAAUACAGUGGAGGGAUGAAAGAAAAGUGACUUGAAAGUGAUCAUGGUAAGGGCGAUAACAACAAUCACAAAACCCUACAAGGUAACAGUGGAAGACAAGAGCGCUCUUGGAAAGGAGGGGCUGUUGCCGGUGAAACUGCAUCCGAAGCUGUGGUGGCCUCUUUCUGCUGCUUCCCUGAGCGUGAAAAGUAGAAUCAAUUUAUACUGAUGCUUUAGAGGAAGUUAUUCCCUAACAUUCCUCUCAGUUGUGUCCUCAUCAUUCCCUAAUGGGCCUGAGUUCAAAAUACCACAGCUCUGGCUGAUCACUUGUCGAUUUUCCCCUCUGUUCUCGUACACAGUCGCUUCCUGGGUACACGAGACCCAGGAUGAAUUCCAGGAUCUUCCCUUCCUGGACCCAGUACUGCACCCCUCUUUCUCUGCAAUGACGUCUCUCCAAAGGGUGGGGGGCGUUUUCAUCGCACCCAUGACUCUUCUCCCUGCCCCAUCCUCUUAAACAUAGCCAUGGUUGGUGAUCCCAAGCUCAUUUUCUAUCAAACACUGUGAUGUCAUAGCCAAUGAUUUCU
rnacentral:lncRNA from 1 species